AUAAAUUUCUAUAAUUUAUUAAUUAAAAUUAUUUUUAAUGUAAAAAAACAUUAAUAUAUUAAAUAGACGAUAAGACCCUAUUGAACUUUACUUUAUUUAACUGGGGAAGUUAAUUAAUUAAUAUUUUAAAUUUUUAUAAUUCAUAAAUGACCUAAUAUUAUUAAUUAAUUGAUCAAGUUACCAUAGGGAUAACAGUGUAAUAUUAUUUUAAAGAUCUUAUUUAAAAUUAUGAUUGCAACCUCGAUGUUGACUUAAUAACCUUAUUAACGCAAUAG
rnacentral:rRNA from 1 species